rfam:Oryza glaberrima chromosome 6 Oglab06_unplaced183_6, whole genome shotgun sequence.
AAUGUAUGACGCUGCUGACUUUUUUCCCAAUGUUUGACCAUUCGUCUUAUUUGAAAAAUUUAUGUAAUUAUUAUUUAUUUUAUUAUGACUUGAUUCAUCAUCAAAUGUUCUUUAAGCAUGACAUAAAUAUUUUCAUAUUUACACAAAAUUUUUGAAUAAAACGAAUGGUCAAACAUUGUCGAAAAGUCAACGGCGUCGUACAUU